rnacentral:rRNA from 1 species
AACGCGAAGAACCUUACCUACCCUUGACAUGCCAGGAACUUACCAGAGAUGGUUUGGUGCUCGAAAGAGAGCCUGGACACAGGUGCUGCAUGGCUGUCGUCAGCUCGUGUCGUGAGAUGUUGGGUUAAGUCCCGCAACGAGCGCAACCCUUGUCAUUAGUUGCUACGCAAGAGCACUCUAAUGAGACCGCCGGUGACAAACCGGAGGAAGGUGGGGAUGACGUCAAGUCCUCAUGGCCCUUAUGGGUAGGGCUACACACGUCAUACAAUGGGCGGUACAGAGGGUUGCCAACCCGCGAGGGGGAGCCAAUCCCUUAAAACCGCUCGUAGUCCGGAUUGUAGUCUGCAACUCGACUGCAUGAAGUCGGAAUCGCUAGUAAUCGCGGAUCAGCUUGCCGCGGUGAAUACGUUCCCGGGUCUUGUACACACCGA